UACGUAGGGCGCAAGCGUUGUCCGGAAUUAUUGGGCGUAAAGAGCUCGUAGGCGGCCUGUUGCGUCCGCUGUGAAAUCCCGGGGCUUAACCCCGGGCUUGCAGUGGAUACGGGCAGGCUAGAGUUCGGCAGGGGAGACUGGAAUUCCUGGUGUAGCGGUGAAAUGCGCAGAUAUCAGGAGGAACACCGGUGGCGAAGGCGGGUCUCUGGGCCGAUACUGACACUGAGGAGCGAAAGCGUGGGGAGCGAACAGG
rnacentral:rRNA from 1 species